CAGUAGCCGCGGUAAUACGUAGGGUGCGAGCGUUAAUCGGAAUUACUGGGCGUAAAGCGUGCGCAGGCGGUUCGUUAAGACAGAUGUGAAAUCCCCGGGCUUAACCUGGGAACUGCAUUCGUGACUGGCGAGCUAGAGUAUGGCAGAGGGGGGCAGAAUUCCACGUGUAGCAGUGAAAUGCGUAGAGAUGUGGAGGAAUACCGAUGGCGAAGGCAGCCCCCUGGGCCAAUACUGACGCUCAUGCACGAAAGCGUGGGGAGCAAACAGGAUUAGAUACCCCGGUAGUCCCUGUCUCUUAUAC
rnacentral:rRNA from 1 species